rnacentral:tRNA from 1 species
GCCCAAGUAGCUCAGUGGUAGAGCAACGCCUUGGUAAGGCGUAGGCCGUGAGUUCAAUCCUCACCUUGGGCUCCA